rnacentral:misc_RNA from 1 species
GUGAAUCAUCAAAUCUUUGAACGCAUAUUGCACUCUUUGGUAUUCCGGAGAGUAUGCCUAUUUGAGGGUCAUUUGUAAUAUUAUAAUUUCCUAGAUUUUUCGUAUUUUUAUAUGGGUUGUCCAUUUUUUGUGGUUGACUAAAAUGGAAGACAAGCUCAUGUUUUUGGGUUGCGGGAUAUUUUCAGUUUUCUCGUGAUUAAAACAGGAAUCAUCGGGCGUGUUUUGAAUUUUGCAAGAGGUAUAAAAUUGGAUAGAUUUAUCUCAUGA